rnacentral:rRNA from 1 species
AUACGUAGGUGACAAGCGUUAUCCGGAUUUACUGGGCGUAAAGGGCGUGUAGGCGGUCUUGCAAGUCAGAAGUGAAAUUCCUGAGCUCAACUCGGGCGCUGCUUCUGAAACUGCAGGACUUGAGUGCUGGAGGGGAUAGCGGAAUUCCUAGUGGAGCGGUAAAAUGCGCAGAUAUUAGGAAGAACACCGGUGGCGAAGGCGGAUAUCUGGACAGUAGCGGACGCUGAGGCGAGAAAGCGUGGGGACAAAACAGGAUUAUAUACCCUAGUAGUCCACGCCGUAAACGAUGAAUACUAGGUGUAGGGGGUAUCGACUCCCUCUGUGCCGCAGUUAACACAAUAAGUAUUCCGCCUGGGGAGUACGGCCGCAAGGUUGAAACUCAAAGGAAUUGACGGGG